ensembl:ncRNA F16F9.13 ncRNA
UUUCAAAAAAAGAAGCAAAGGGAAGAAGCGCUUUGAGUAGCCUUUGAUCCGAAUUCGGCUAUUCUCUGUUUGCACUUCUACUCGUGCCCAUCGCACUUCAAACAACCCGUAGGCACUAAGUUUGGUUACUUUACUUUGCCAUCUUUUU